rnacentral:rRNA from 1 species
AUUGAACGCUGGCGGCAGGCUUAACACAUGCAAGUCGAGCGAGCGGCGGACGGGUGAGUAAUGUCUGGGGAUCUGCCCGAUAGAGGGGGAUAACUACUGGAAACGGUGGCUAAUACCGCAUACUAUCGGAUGACCCCAUAUGGGAUUAGCUAGUAGGUGGGGUAAAGGCUCACCUAGGCGACGAUCUCUAGCUGGUCUGAGAGGAUGAUCGGCCACACUGGGACUGAGACACGGCCCAGACUCCUACGGGAGGCAGCAGUAGGGAAUAUUGGGCAAUGGACGAAAGUCUGACCGAGCAACGCCGCGUGAGUGAAGAAGGUUUUCGGGUCGUAAAGCACUUUUAGCGGGGAAGCGUUAUCCACCCAGGAAGCAACGGCUAACUACGUGCCAGCAGCCGCGGUAAUUC